CCUACGGGAGGCAGCAGUAGGGAAUCUUCCACAAUGUGCGAAAGCCUGAUGGAGCAACGCCGCGUGGGUGAAGAAGGUCUUCGGAUCGUAAAACCCUGUUGUUAGAGAAGAAAGUGCGUGAGAGUAACUGUUCACGUUUCGACGGUAUCUAACCAGAAAGCCACGGCUAACUACGUGCCAGCAGCCGCGGUAAUACGUAGGUGGCAAGCGUUAUCCGGAUUUAUUGGGCGUAAAGGGAACGCAGGCGGUCUUUUAAGUCUGAUGUGAAAGCCUUCGGCUUAACCGGAGUAGUGCAUUGGAAACUGGGAGACGUGAGUGCAGAAGAGGAGAGUGGAAAUCAAUGUGUAGCGGUGAAAUGCGUAGAUAUAUGGAAGAACACCAGUGGCGAAAGCGGCUCUCUGGUCUGUAACUGACGCUGAGGUUCGAAAGCGUGGGUAGCAAACAGGAUUAGAUACCCCUGUAGUC
rnacentral:rRNA from 1 species